AGUGAACGCUGGCGGCAGGCCUAACACAUGCCAGUCGAACGGCAGCACAGUAAGAGCUUGCUCUUACGGGUGGCGAGUGGCGGACGGGUGAGGAAUACAUCGGAAUCUACUUUUUCGUGGGGGAUAACGUAGGGAAACUUACGCUAAUACCGCAUACGACCUACGGGUGAAAGCAUGGGAUCUUCGGAUCUUGCGCGAUUGUAUGAGCCGAUGUCGGAUUAGCUAGUUGGCGGGGUAAAGGCCCACCAAGGCGACGAUCCGUAGCUGGUCUGAGAGGAUGAUCAGCCACACUGGAACUGAGACACGGUCCAGACUCCUACGGGAGGCAGCAGUGGGGAAUAUUGGACAAUGGGCGCAAGCCUGAUCCAGCCAUGCCGCGUGGGUGAAGAAGGCCUUCGGGUUGUAAAGCCCUUUUGUUGGGGAGGAAAAGCAGCAGGUUAAUACCCCGCUGUUCUGACGGUACCCAAAGAAUAAGCACCGGCUAACUUCGUG
rnacentral:rRNA from 1 species